GAUCAAAGUUUAUCACGCCAGAAAUAAAUAUAUCGACAUCGUCUUCUUAGUUUUAGAUGGACAAGUCAUUCUUCUCUUGGACAUUUACAAUUGAGGACCAUCCACACAUGGCUGGGAAGCUUCAUCCCAUCGCGAUUUUGUUGUCACAGAACCCCCUUUUAUGUUUUCCCUGCUUGGUCUGUUCGUGGCGUCGGUCAUUCCAACAAUUGAGGACGAUUACACAAUGGAGUUCCCAGUAGGAGCGUCAUGAGGUUUUGUUUGCAGGGCGUGCAGGAGUGCCAUGGCGAGCACAGCCACGGCCACUGGCCAGCCAUCCGAGACAGUCAUGGGCGCCUUGCAAGCCACUUGCCACGCCGUGGGUAACCACCUUGGCCAGAGAUGAGAAAGUUGGAAAUUGAGAGAUUUCAACACAACCCAGAUGAAGACAUUACAUAGCAAACUCUCUCAGUAAGAAUUUAGGAAGAAAGCAGCUUGUGGCUGAAGAGUUUGGGAGGCCAAGACCACAUGCUAGGGGCAGGAUUCAGGUGAGCAAUCAAGGAGAUGUAGCAAGGCCAAGACCAAGAUGAAGCUUAUUUGAUUGAUGAGUUUUUUGUA